rnacentral:rRNA from 1 species
UACGUAGGUGGCAAGCGUUAUCCGGAUUUAUUGGGUUUAAAGGGUGCGUAGGCGGAGUGCCAAGUCAGCGGUAAAAAUUCGGGGCUCAACCCCGUCGUGCCGUUGAAACUGGCGCCCUUGAGUGGGCGAGAAGUAUGCGGAAUGCGUGGUGUAGCGGUGAAAUGCAUAGAUAUCACGCAGAACCCCGAUUGCGAAGGCAGCAUACCGGCGCCCGACUGACGCUGAAGCACGAAAGCGUGGGUAUCGAACAGG